rnacentral:rRNA from 1 species
UACGGAGGGUGCGAACGUUAAUCGGAAUCACUGGGCGUAAAGCGCGCGUAGGCGGUUUGUUAAGUGGGAUGUGAAAUCCCCGGGCUUAACCUGGGAAUUGCAUUUCAAACUGGCCGACUAGAGUACGGUAGAGGGAGGUAGAAUUUCCUGUGUAGCGGUGAAAUGCGUAGAUAUAGGAAGGAAUACCAGUGGCGAAGGCGGCCUCCUGGAUCGAUACUGACGCUGAGGCGCGAAAGCGUGGGGAGCAAACAGGA